UAAGGAAUAUUGGUCAAUGGACGCAAGUCUGAACCAGCCAUGCCGCGUGAAGGAUGAAGGUCCUCUGGAUUGUAAACUUCUUUUAUCUGGACGAAAACGGGAUUUUUAUCUCAAUUGACGGUACCAGAGGAAUAAGCACCGGCUAACUCCGUGCCAGCAGCCGCGGUAAUACGGAGGGUGCGAGUGUUAUCCGGAUUUACUGGGUUUAAAGGGUGCGUAGGUGGGCUUAUAAGUCAGUGGUGAAAUCUCCGAGCUUAACUUGGAAACUGCCGUUGAUACUAUAGGUCUUGAAUUAUCUGGAGGUAAGCGGAAUAUGUCAUGUAGCGGUGAAAUGCUUAGAUAUGACAUAGAACACCAAUUGCGAAGGCAGCUUACUACAUAUAAAUUGACGCUGAGGCACGAAAGCGUGG
rnacentral:rRNA from 1 species